AAGCAUAUAAUUAAGCGGAGGAAAAGAAACUAACAAGAAUUCCUCUAGUAAGGGCGACUGAAGCAGGAAUAGCUCACCAUGUGAAUCUGCGUAACCAAUUUAUUGGCGCGCCGAAUUGUGGUCUGUAGAGGUGACAUCGACUGAAGUACCGGGCCAAGUCCCUUGGAAAAGGGCAGCUGAGAGGGUGAUACUCCCGUUCUUGCCUGGUGUCUUUAUGUCAUUGUAUGUGCCUUCAAUGAGUCGAGUUGCUUGGGAUUGCAGCUCAAAUUGUGUGGUAAAUUCCAUAUAAAGCUAAAUACCGGUGGGAGACCGAUAGCGCACAAGUACCGUGAGGGAAAGAUGCAAAGAACUUUGAAAAGAGAGUUAAAAAGUACCUGAAAUUGCUGAAAGGUAAGCGAUGGAAACCAGUGCAUAGCUUGAUCAUAUUUUUCCUGUUACUUGUAGCAGGGACGCUGUGAUUAGGCGACGGUCAGGAUGGGUUUCUUCUGGGAUAACAGUGCAGAUAGGAGGUGGCCUCUUGUAGGUGUUAACCUAUCUGUACCUAUCUUGGAUGGGACUGAGGUAAGUCACGUAAGUGCUCGUGAUCCUGACAAAAUGGUUUUCAUUACCCCGUCUUGAAACACGGACCAAGGAGUCUAACAUAUGUGCGAGUACAGAGGUGGCAAACUUCCGUGCGUAAUGAAAGUAACAGUGGUUGGACUCUAUUGAGGCACAAUCUGCCGGCCAUAAUUCUUCGGAAGAAAGGUCUGAGUGUGAGCAUAUAUGUUGGGACCCGAAAGAUGAUGAACUAUGCCUGAAUAGGGUGAAGCCAGGGAAACUCUGGUGGA
rnacentral:rRNA from 1 species